rnacentral:rRNA from 1 species
GACGAACGCUGGCGGCGUGCUUAACACAUGCAAGUCGAACGGAAAGACCCUGCUUUUGUGGCGUUCUCGUUUGGCGAACGGGUGAGUAACACGUGAGUAACCUGCACUUGUCUUUGGGAUAACUUUAGGAAACUGCGGCUAUUACCGGGUAGAAGCUCCUGCUGCAUAUGGUGGGUUGGAAAGUGUCGGCGGUGCGGGAUGGACUCGCGGCUUAUCAGCUAGAUUGUGGAGUAGUGGCUUACCAAGGGUUUGACGGAUAGCCGGCAUGAGAGGGUGACCGGCCACCUUGGUACUGCGAUAGGGACCAGAAUGGUACGGGACGCAGCGGGGGGGAAUCUUGCAGAACAGGGGGACGUGUGAUGCAACAAUGCCGGGUGCGGGAUGCCCGCUUUCGGGUGGUAAACAGCUUUCGCCUGUGCCGAAGCGUUAGUGACGGUAAUGAGUAAAGAAGCAACGGCUAACUACGUG